rnacentral:tRNA from 1 species
GUUAUGGUGGCAGAUUAGUGCAUUGAUUUUAAGAGUCAAAAAUAAGAUAACCUUCCGUAACU